rnacentral:lncRNA from 1 species
CUUUACUGCUAACACUUUACAGACGAGGAAACCGAGGCUUAUAAUGGGAAGUAGCUUGAUGAGAGGUUUUGGGGCCCUCAUGCAGAAUUCUUUGUGCCUUAUUCUCCAGCAAUGGAACUUCGGCAUCUAGAGAUUUCAAGGUAUUGGGACCAUCAUAUAUAUACAAUGCUUAUUAAAAAGAUGUCUAUUUAAGGUUACAUUUGGGAGGCAAGUCCCUAGGACUUGAGACAAGCUGCAGCAUUCACCUGCAAGUGUGGCUUGCAAAUCAGCAGACUUUGGAGCCAUUGGAAAAGGCUACUUCCAGCUACAAAGUGAAAAGAUAUAAGCAGCGUGUGCUGUAGACUGAGGUAGUAUCUUCGAGUUCUGUCAUUGGCACCUAUCAGUGGCUGAGAUAUCCUGGGUUGAAGUCUGCAAGGUCCAGCAUAAUGUAUUAUGCAUGAAAAGACAUCUCCUGUUACUUCAUUUUUGUAAAAGAUUACCUCAAUACUCC